rnacentral:rRNA from 1 species
GACGAACGCUGGCGGCGUGCCUAAUACAUGCAAGUAGAACGCAGUUGCGAACGGGUGAGUAACGCGUAGGUAACUGCCUGGUAGCGGGGGAUAACUAUUGGAAACGAUAGCUAAUACAGCAUACUACCAGAUGGACCUGCGUUGGAUUAGGUAGGUGGUGAGGUCACGGCUCACCAAGGCAACGAUACAUAGCCUACCUGGGAGGGGGAUCCGCCAAACUGGGAACGGGACACGGCCCAGACUCCUACGGGAGGCAGGAGGAGGGAAUCUUCGGGAAUGGGGGGAACCCUGACCGAGCAACUCCGAGUGAGUGAAGGAGGUUUUCGGAUCGUAAAGCUCUGUUGUUAAGGAAGCGGUACUUAACCAGAAAGGGACGGCUAACUACGUGCCAGCAGCCGCGGUAAUAC